ACUUUUAAAGGAUAAUAGCCAUCCACUGGCCUUAGGAGC
rnacentral:tRNA from 1 species